rnacentral:tRNA from 1 species
GCGGAUGUAGUUCAAUGGUAGAACACAAGCUUCCCAAGCUUGAAACGCGGGUUCGAUUCCCGUCAUCCGCUCCA